GUUGGCCGGUGACUUGCCCUCUGACCCCGCCGUGGGGGACGAGACCCGAUGGAGGUACUAGGGGCCCCUGCGGCUGAGCCCGUGUCCAGGCACCUUCCACGUGGCGCAGGGCGGAUCAAGGCUUGCCCGGGGCCAGCGCGGGGCUGCCGCCAGCACGAGAGCCUCGGGGACCGCCCUCCUCCGGCAGCCGGUGUCAGCGGAGAGUGACAGACGGUCUGGUGGGCCCUGCCAAGGCAGCCCCUAAAUAGAGAUCUCCAGAGGGGGCAACACCAUAAAAAAGGUUCUUUGUGUUUCACUCUAGCGUGGUAUUGCUCUAAUAUAGAGCUCGGCACUUUCCCCAACCUCUAGGAAUUCGAACACCUGGAAAAAUUCUCCUGGCUUUACAUUGGAGGAAAUUUAAUGGUGUAAACCAACUCUGCAGGGGGGCCCCCUUUGAUUUGAGAAAGCAGUGAUCUGCGGUGCAGUGCUGAGCCGAAGGGGCUUGGAAACGACUUUGCCUGAGAAUGUCCAUUCCUCAAACACUUUAAGGAUGGCUUCGAGUUGUUUAGAAAAAUUUAGGCAGACAGCACCGUCUUGGAAGCAUCUAGAAACUUCGAGAGAAAUAAACUUCAGUUACUCGUUUAAUUACAGGCAUCAGCUUGCCAGUUCCCUGCUAACUGUCCAUUUCCGAAUAGGGCAGAAUUUUUCAGGGGUCUUUGCUGUGCUACUACAGCUUUAUGAAUUGUAGACCGGUUUGUCAGCCUUAUUUUAGCUCGGCAAAUAAGGAAAUCAUACCUGGGAAAGUGAAGUGACUUCCCCAAGGUCACCUGACCCAGAAGCCAAGACUCCAGGCUUGUAAGUUCCAUGAUGUUGAUGCCCUUAUUGUUUCCCUGUGGAGUCCUGCUACCCAGAAAGUAAGCUGUGAGCUAAGGAGAGGAAAAGGCCCAACACCUGCCUGUCAGGGCUCCUGGAUCACGCCCUGCUGCCUGCUGACCUAUAUUGGACUCGAGCCCUUCUUCUGGCAUGCUCACCUGUUAACCCACCUAUCAGCCCACACCUCUGACUGCUGGCUGCUCCCCAUUGAGCCUGAAAUACUGUGCUAUCUGCCUGUACCCUUUUGCAUAAGCUGGGGUUGGGUUAUCUCAGAUUUCUAUUUGGGUCAAGAUUGCCACAUACCUCACCUCUUCUGUUCUGGUCCUCAUCCUGUGUUCCUGGACAAAAAUAACAUUUGAGUAGAAAGCUUUUCUACUUGUUGACAUAGUUGAACAGAUUUUGCUUUAUUGAGAUGAAAUGGAGCCUAAAUUUAUCUGGAAAUGUGUGGAAUCAGUAGAGAGAAGUAAACACAACUCGAAGAAAGCGGGAAACCCCUGUGUACAAUUCAGCUUUUUCACUCCCAGGGAGUUGGGCAUGAUUGUAAAGAAUGAUGUUUUCAAGCCUGCCAAUAACAGAACACGUCUGUAUCCAUUGUGGAUGGGCUUCUUUGAGAAAGCUUCCUUUUCGCCCAAGUAGAGGAGCUCUUCACUGCCCUAAGAUUCUGCUUUCCUACUCCCAUGUCAGAGCAGGAAAAGGUGAAUAUUUUUCACACAGAAUAGCCUCAUCCAUUCCCACGGGGAGUGAGAUAGUUCCUGUAGGGUGCUAGUGAUGGCAUAAAAUUACAGCUCACUAGAGAAACAGUUGCGAGUAAAGAAAUAUAUACAUUUCCUCUAUUUGUGUUCCCUGUCUGUGUUGUCUAAGUUGCAAACAACAGACUCCACUUCAGCUAGGUUAAAGGGAAAAGAGGUUUAAUAAAGAAAAUUAAAUAGCUUAUAGCAUCACUGGGGAACUAGAGAAACAGAUUUAAGGCUAAGCUUCCAGAAACAUAUCCCAAAACAUGCCCCCAAACCGUGACACUGACAUGAAGAGACAGUUGUCAUUGCUGCUUUAUUGAACAGAGGACUGAGAAUUUUUCUACAGUCACUGCUGUUCUCUGCACUGAUGGAAGCCAAGCCUGCCUGGAGAACUCAACUUUGCAACCCAAAGCUGGUGGCUAAUGUGGCUACCCCUACCAACAAAAUGGAAACUCCACCAGGUGUCUGAAUCCAGCUCUCACGACCAUUUAGUGGAGCAGGAAGAAACUGCAGGCCUUUUGGAGGUAUUUCCUUGUGAUUCUGGUCCAAUCCACCACCACCGUCUCACGCUUAGAACCCUGCAAUCCUUCUUUCAAAGAUCCCUUUUGUAGAAGCACGGAGAUCAUGUAAUUGGCUGAGAACAACUAUCCAGUCUGAGAGGAUGACCUUUUACCCUCUACCCAAAAAGAGCACUCCAGAGAGAAAGGUGCCGUAAUCUGGGUUUAAGGCUUCUUACCAUCAUGUGGAGAGCCUGUUUCCUGUGCCACACACACAGUGGCAAGAAAGCUCAGCUUCAACAUUAAUGUAGAACUUCCCACGUUGCUCUUGAGAAAAUCCACUCCUUAAAGAGGAAGAAAGGACCUCACCCCAUGCCUCCCUCCCUCGGUGGAGAUGCCCACACAUGGGCACUCGGAACCAGUUGCAGGCAACUGUGAAUUGGGAGGAAGGAAAGAAGAGAUUAGGACUGAAAGAGGUGAGUAUGUUCAAGUCUGUUUCUAGUGUAGAGAUAGCGAGAUGGUCACCCGUUAAUUCAUUUGCAAGGCUGAGAGUAAUGCUGAAUCCUGGCUUAGGACACCAGUAGAUGACUUCCCAACAAAUAAGUGGACAAAAAGAUGACACCACCACCUGAAGGAACUUUUAAAGCAAUGAAUGAAGCACCUUGAAAAGUUAGAUUUUGGUUAAGAGACACAUCCCCAAAGUUAAAUGAAAAGGUAGAACCUGGCUUUGCAAAACUGAUGAAAAAUGGCCAUGUAUGCUACAAAGUAAGACCCUUUUUUUGACAUUUUUUUUUUUCCAUGAGAGUCAACAGGGGAAAGUUUGGCUAAUGUUUUCUAUCACUAAAGACUUAAAAAAUAACUGGAAACAUUCCCAUAGGCUUUGUUUGUUUGUUUUUAAGAGGCUUGUUUCUCGUUUUUCCAUGCAAAUUAAAAUUCCUAGUGUGGCUUCUAUAAAUUUGAACUUUUGAAAACUUUCCCUUAGCAUUUGGCUCAAAGUGUAGCUGGCACUUCCGUGUGACAACAGAGAAAUUUCAGUUCUGCUUUUCUUCAGAGCUGCGUGUUAUGGGUUAGAUAAGUAAACUUGGCUUUCUCUGUUCUAACGACAG
rnacentral:lncRNA from 10 species